rnacentral:rRNA from 1 species
UACAGAGGUCCCGAGCGUUAGGCGGAAUCACUGGGCUUAAAGCGUGUGUAGGCGGAUCGUUAAGUGCCUUGUGAAAUCCCAUGGCUUAACCAUGGAACUGCUUGGCAUACUGGCGGUCUUGAGCCACUUAGGGGCAACCGGAACAAAUGGUGGAGCGGUGAAAUGCGUAGAUAUCAUUUGGAACGCCAAUGGUGAAAACAGGUUGCUGGGAGUGUGCUGACGCUGAGACACGAAAGCCAGGGGAGCGAACGGG